GUUCGUACCCGGUCCGGGUCGGCUGGGCUGCCCGCCGCUCCGCGCGCCCGGGCGGUCGCAGGUCGCGCCUGCUUUGGCCCCGGCGGGUUCGGCAUCCGAGCCUGGCAGGGGCCAAUAGACAGGGCCUCUGGAGUGCAGUGGCGUGAUCUCGGCUCACUACAGCGUCUGCCUACCGUGUUCAAGCGAUCCUCCCACCUCAGCCUGUUGAGCAACCGGGACCCCAGGUGCACACUCCACCACGCCCAGCUAAUUUUUUUGUGUUUUGGGUAGAGAGGGGGUCUCACUGUGUUG
rnacentral:lncRNA from 10 species